AAAAAACAUUAGCAAACUCUAGGCUAGAACAUAAAUGUCCCAUGAUUUAUAUCUAUGGACUUUGCUAAAACUGGAUCAUGCCUAACAUUGAUUAAUUAGUUAAAAUAAAGCAGUUAAGAAGAUUGAACUCCAAGGAAGUGGUAUCUGGAGGAAAUAAUCAAAGAAAUUGAUUAGAAUAUCUGCAUCUUGUCUAGUUCACAAUAUAACAACAAUUUUUAUAAAAAUAAACACUUAAUGCAUGCUAACAGUGCUAAGUGCUUUGUGGGCCUUAUGGUCCCUGUUACAACUAGUCAGCUGGAAUCAUUUCAUGACCCUCAUUGCCAUUUGGAAUAGACACUAUUGUUAUCUUCAUUUUGGAUACAAGUAGUUGAGACAUAGGUUAAAUAAUCUGUCCAGUGUCAUCUAACCCACACAUAGCAAAGUCAAAAUUUGAACAAUUUGAUCCUUGAGAUCAAAGUUUUAACUAUAUAACUCAUCAAGAGCUUGCAAGGAUAGUAUCAAUUUUCUGAUAUUUUCAAUGUGUAGAUGAUUAGGUAAUCUGUAUGUGGGGAACUAUCCAUUUGCUCAUGAUCUUUUGAUCUUGAUAGCAGCAGGAGGCAAACGCCUAGGCAGAUGGGACAGGUGCCUGGUGAAAUCCAGCCUUCAAACCAAAGAGAGCCUGAAGCCUGAAAACCAAGCUACAAGUCUUAGAUAAAUCCAUGGACUUAAAGAGAGGGUUGAGAAACUGUCUUCACAUUUGGCGUGCUUUCCUCUGAUUGAUCCUCAGCCUCUCAAGUAGCUGGGACUACAGGCACCCACCACCACGCCUGGCUAAAUUUUUUUUGAAUUUUUAGCAGAGAUGGGGUUUUACUGUGUUAGCCAGGAUAUUCUUGAUCUCCUGACUGUGUGAUCCGCCCACCUCAGCCUCCCAAAGUGCUGGGGUUACAGGCGUGAGCCACCACACCAAGACCUUAAUUGUUUUUUUAGACUGUCAUGCCCACCUUUGAGUGGCUCUUUUGUUUUGAGCUUUUUUGCAUACUCACAAACCAAUCAGCAUGCACUCCCCCAUUCUAAGCCCAUAAAAGCCCAGAACUCAGGCACACUUUGGGGACUGCCCCACCUUUGGACUGAAGCUACAUGACUUUGGGUGGGGGCUGCCCUCUCUGGGUCCCCUCUCUGGUGAGAGCUGUCGCUCAAUAAAACUCUGUCCUGCUCACCCUUCAGUUGUCAGCGUAACCUCAUUCUUCUUAGACAUGGGACAGGAACUUGGGACCUGCCGAAUGCGGGUACAGAAAAGCUGUAAUUCUGUGGCCCUCUGCCCUCUGCUGGCACCCACCCAGUGGCCAACCCACGUGACCCCAGUGGUGGGGCCAGGCCAGCCCCAGAGCCACAGCCUCGAGUGGGGCAAUGGGACUGAAAAGACUGUUAACACACCCGUUUGUUAGGCUACGGGCAGUGGGACUAAAAGAGCUCUUAGCAUGCUGUAAUAACACUUUUGCGGCUGGCAUACCUGUUCAAUGCCACCAUGUUCCUCUCAUCCAGAUGCCAGCACCCAAGGUGGAGGCAGGUUGCAGUACGCUUGGCCCAGCUGCAGGCUGAGCACGGAUCCCACAGCGAGCGCGGGAUCCAGGCCAAAGUGCAAGCUAGGAGCUCCCACCACUGGGCCGAGUGGGAGGGGUGCCUCCUGCAGUGAUCCCAGGGCUGAGAGAGGCCCCGGGCAGGGGUGUGUCAGGCCAUGGAGAUCUCUGGCUGGCAAAGCAGCACCAAAAAAUCCUGCAUCAGUCUUCUGGCCUGAAUGCCAAUUUGUGACAGAAUGGAACUCCUGUAGAUUAUUAUUUCACUGAGGUUUACACCUCUUUUAAAAUUAAUUUUCAUAUUUCCCUCAGGAUUUGAUUUACUAUGAAACAACACGAAGCCAGGUGGGUUGAAGUUUAUUAGGAAAAAAUGGAAGCUUGGGGAAUCUGAGGAAUAUUUUCAAAGUACAGAAAACAGCAGUACUGUGAAAGUCUUUAUAGAGCAGAAAUGAUUUAGGACGGGGCCUCCAAAAAGGGGAACUUUGCAUAGCAUAGAAGUUGUGACUUUUUCUUUACCUGGUGGUCUCAUUACAAUUCUUAAAGGCUGAUAACCUUUACUUAAAUACAUUUUUUGCAAUGACACAUUUAUGCAUAUAUGCAGCAGGUGAGCAGAGGGCAUAGUCAGGGCUUUCAUUACUAAAAUUAGAUGCAUCACCAGCUUUUUCCUCUACUAAAAAUUUAGCUAGCACAGAGAACAAUAGGUCAUGUGCAUAAAGCAAUUAGUGAUAUCAACACCUGGACAAUCACCGAAAUUCAGGGGAGGAUACCUUAGCAUGGGAGAUUUAUUUACCCUGGACUUACUGUACUGUCUUAGGGUGAGUACAUUCUCCUGGUAGUAAACAUGGUCUCCAUACAAUCCCACUGGUGGAGUUAAAAUCUACUGGGGUAGAUGUGUGGUUAAUUGUAGACUAAAAAGUUUCUUUGUUGUUGUUUUAAGUUAGGAAAAUAAUGAGAGUGCUUUGAAUUCUCUGUGCAUUUCUUUUUUCCCUUAUUGCAUCAUAGACCUCCACUGCUGACCUUCAGGCU
rnacentral:lncRNA from 1 species